ACAGACAGAUCAUGAACUGGGAGCCACGUGGAAAGAAGACUAGCUUGGAACUCAGUCAGGAUCCUGUCCUGGGUUUCUUCCAGAUCACCCUCCAAUCAUCCAUCUGGUCUCAAUCUCCAGUGCCUUUGGUUUUGGAAAUGCUACCAGCGUGAUGACUGCAUUUUCAGUGGUGGACAUUUUUGAUAUGCCUCAGAAGCAAGGACUUACAGGAAAAUCUACUUCCCAGUGGUACUCAGAAGGCAUUGCCCAAGUGCAAGAAGAGAAGUAGACUCCAUCUUUCUAAAGGAAAGGAACAAGUUCCGCAGGCAUGCGUGGGAAUGGGAAUAUUAACACGGCCAUUCCGGGAAAAUACAGCCUGGCACCGUAAGGCAUACAGAGCUGCUGGAUAAAAUAUAACAAAACUAUUUUACAUAUGUGGAGGGCAGAUGAAAUUCUUAUGUGCUAAAAGAAGACCCCCAUAAGCAACAUG